AUUGAACGCUGGCGGCAGGCCUAACACGUGCAAGUCGAGCGGAUGAAGGGAGCUUGCUCCUGGAUUCAGCGGCGGACGGGUGAGUAAUGCCUAGGAAUCUGCCUGGUAGUGGGGGAUAACGUCCGGAAACGGGCGCUAAUACCGCAUACGUCCUGAGGGAGAAAGUGGGGGAUCUUCGGACCUCACGCUAUCAGAUGAGCCUAGGUCGGAUUAGCUAGUUGGUGGGGUAAAGGCCUACCAAGGCGACGAUCCGUAACUGGUCUGAGAGGAUGAUCAGUCACACUGGAACUGAGACACGGUCCAGACUCCUACGGGAGGCAGCAGUGGGGAAUAUUUGACAAUGGGCGAAAGCCUGAUCCAGCCAUGCCGCGUGUGUGAAGAAGGUCUUCGGAUUGUAAAGCACUUUAAGUUGGGAGGAAGGGCAGUAAGUUAAUACCUUGCUGUUUUGACGUUACCAACAGAAUAAGCACCGGCUAACUUCGUG
rnacentral:rRNA from 1 species